rnacentral:SRP_RNA from 1 species
GCCAGGCAUGGUGGUGAGUGCCUGUAAUCCCAGCUACUUGGGAGGCUGAGGCAGGAGAAUUGCUUGAACCCAGGAGGUGGAGGUUGCAGUGAGUGGAGAUUGCACCACUGCACUCCAGCCUGGGUAACAGAGUGAGACUCCGUCUCAA